UUGAGCCUCCCAGUCCGCCCGACUGGAACCUGUAGGCUGGCCGUUUCCUUCUACACCGCUCUGCUGCGUGCCUGAGAUCCGCGCGCUGCACCACCGUCCAGAUCAGGAGCGAAGAAAAUCGGCACAAAUUGCGCUACAGGGACAAAGGCACAACCAGAUUUUCAGAUGAAAAUCCUAAAUGAAACUCACCAGACAUGAUGGCUGAGAUGAGGAGAAGAUCCCUGGAGAAGACCUGAGGAACUCCACAAUGUCCUUUUUUCUGCCUCAGCAAAAUGGCCAAGAACGAAAUUUGAGCAAAAGUCUCCAAAAACCUCGACACAAAUGUCUUCCAGGAGAGUCAGAGCAUGCAACAAUAUUGUAAUAUAGCUGGGGACAUAUUAGUUUGAGAUUUUCUCGCUGCAUGCCUACUAUUUAAAACCCCUAGAACUCAAUGAUUUGACAAUGAUUUGAUUGCGCGUUACUUUCAAUUUGAAUAUUCAGAAGCAAGAGUCUCUAAUCGAUUUUACAAUAAAAAUGACUCCGCAGGGACAUUCUUUAAUCCCCACUUUAGUGGAAUAUACUGCUAUUUGACUGUUUGAGCGAAAAAAACAGCACUUUCAUUAAUUUUAUCCUCAUUUGCCACAUCAAGGCAUCACAUCCCUCAUUAAACACUGCAGCUCUGGAUGCGCAUUUUGCGCAUUUUUAAAGUCGCAUUUCGCACUUUUUGCCACCACGUGUUAAUGGAGACACUCCACAUAUACAAUAUAUAUCCCAAUGUAUUUUUAAACCUUUUCAAAAGCAAAAAGAUAUAAAAAAGGAAUAGAAGGGGGCGUGGCAAAUGCCGGCAGCCAUCUUUGAGACAGCAGGCCUUCUGCAGCUGGAAAGUGGUUCCAGUGUUCUCACCUGCUGCAGCCUGCAGGGUGAAGACUGCAGCCCUGCGCGAGACGCCUUAAACACUUUAUGAAUGAAAAAGAAUUAAUCAUGCCCAGAAAAGAUGAUUUUAUUAGGAAGCAACGUUUGGCCUAAUGUAUUCAUCACAGCAAACACCAUCUUCCUGAUCUGUUGUUAUUGAUCCAAGCGAUUCAGGUUUUGAUCAUAAAAAGGUUGAUGGUUCUUUCUCUGCAGCAGACAGCAUGUUUGCAUCAUCAUGUUUAACUGAUGAGCUGAACUUUAUCAGAAACGAUUUGGAUAGAAAAUAAAAACAGGAAAAUGUCAAAUUUAAGCUGGAUUUUGUGUCAUUUUUAGCAGCUGCAGCAAGUUGUUCUGCUCAGAAGAAAAGAAAAAUUUACCUGCUUUUAUUCCUGAUGUAAUUAUACAUUUAUUUUAAUUCUGAUCACCAAUUCUCCAUUUUUUUCAUUGGUUGUUGCAAAAUGACUCUAAAAUUUAUUAAAAAUUUAAAAAGUAUUUAAUUUCCAUAAAAAACCGCAUGACGUUAUUUGAUAACUGUUAAUAAAUAAUUUUCAUCCA